CCCAGCAAACACAUGACGUUAAAAAAACGUCGGAUUAAUGUUAGAUUUUGGUCACGACGUCGGCGACCAAAAUACGACGUAAAUCUGACGUUAAAAUACCGAUGUCUAAUAGACGUUUCUUUUUGACGUCGUACUAACGUCAGGUUCUGGUCGGUGUCCUGACGGUAGGUAAAAAAAUAACAAAAAAUAAUCCUUAUUCGCUGUUGUAAUCAUUUAAACUUUUUUUCAAAUGUUAAUUGAAUUACAAAUGAAGUGUUCUUAUAUAAAUACAGACCAAGAUCGCGGCGCUGCAACCUUAUAAAACAUAUAGGUGGCGCUGUAUAUAGGCAAGUUACAUGUGUUAUUGUUAUGAAAUCUAUUUAUAGCCACAGAUCUGUUUACAAGUUCCAAUCAUUUAACGUUGUAAUAUUAUCAUUUGUAGUAUUAUAUGUAUCAAAAUUAGGAGUUUUUGAUAGUGUUUUAUCAUUUAAUCAUAGUGACAGAAAAGGGAAAGAAAACAUAAUUAACCUAUAAUUCGAAACUAAAGUCACGUGGAUGGAAAUUCAAAUUCGUAGGCGUUACGUUUUGGCUGUCGGUCAGGAAUCGGGAUGCAUUGAUAAGUGCAUAUUAUAGAUUUUCUUGAACAAAAAGGUAGUUAAAGUGUUGGACAUGCUCUCAAAGAUCGGAGGGACGGAAACACGUGAAUAUGUAAAAAGAAACAUAAUUAUGAAAUGAAAAUGAUGUCACACACGCUAUUGGGCGCUACAAACGCUACAUAUCCUCCGAACAGACGAGGGGUGCUGAAAGAAGGUCAUAUCUUAAAGCAUCACACCUCAAAAGUCGUGCUAAUUCUCAUGGAUAUCUAAAAGUAUAACUUUGUGAAGUAACUAAAAGGCAGUAAUUUAUACAUUACUGACAAUAAUCAAAGGAGGUCAAAAUAUGCAAAAUGGCACUAAAUGUUUUAGAAAUGCUGUAGAAAUAUAGUUAAAGUACUGAAAAUCUGUCAUAAAUUGCUUGAAACAUUAAUUAUUAUCAGAAUCUUUUAACUUUUCUUAAAAUUAUAAUAUUUUCAUUAUAUUAUUUGAUAAGGCAAAAUUUAAUAGAAAUGUGCAUACAUUGUUUUGUUCUUUAAUAUUUGUACAUGUUUUCUUAGUUUCAUUUAUGUCAUUGUUUUUGUUAUACUUUUUGCUUUGUAAUUAACUUAUUUUAUGUUUUAUUUUGUUUAAUUUAUGAAAAUUAUUUAACCUUGCAGAAUUUACUAAAAUUGUAUGUAUCAGCUUAAAAUUGCAACUUUUAUUUUAAAUUAAAAGAGCAUGAAACAUA